CUUUUCGGCUGGAAUGGGGAAUUUGUGAGGUAGGCCGGAAGUGGUGUUGCGGAGGGAAGUGUGGGGAGAGCAGAGGCGCAGCUCUGCUGGAGAGACCUGAGGCUUGCAGCGCUGGGCCCGGCCGGGUCGCUGCGGCUGGGCUGGAGGUCAAGGAUGCAUUCCAGGAAAGUUCUAUAAAAAUAUACCAUCAACUCCAACCUGAUAUUUGACCUAGCCAUGGAAAACCUCAUUGGCUCCUCACUGGAUCAGACCAUAAAAAUGAUCCAGGAAUGAAAAUCUAAGAUAAAUUCCCACCACUUCAAGAUGUUCUUAUACAAGUCAACAGUCUAGCAGAUCAGCCAGUCUCUUUCAUCAUCAAGCAGACAUACUCAAGAAAGAGGAAUAGUGAAGUGAAAUAUACAGAAGCAUGUUCAAGUUCAUCUGUUGAAUCUGGAAUUGUGAAUAGUGACAAUAUUGAGAAAAAUACUGACUCCAAUCUGCAAACUUCAACUUCAUUUGAGCCACAUUUCAAAAAGAAAAAAGAACAAGAACUGCACAGCCAUCUGGGAAGCCUUUAAAGUGGCGCUGGACAA
rnacentral:lncRNA from 10 species